UUUUCAGAUAGCUGAGCCUCAUUAGUAACUACUUUCA
rnacentral:sRNA from 1 species